UACGUAGGGGGCAAGCGUUGUCCGGAUUUAUUGGGCGUAAAGAGCGUGUAGGCGGCCAGGUAGGUCUGCUGUGAAAACUCGAGGCUCAACCUCGAGACGUCGGCGGAAACCAUCUGGCUAGAGUCCGGAAGAGGAGAGUGGAAUUCCUGGUGUAGCGGUGAAAUGCGCAGAUAUCAGGAAGAACACCCGUGGCGAAGGCGGCUCUCUGGGACGGUACUGACGCUGAGACGCGAAAGCAUGGGGAGCGAACAGG
rnacentral:rRNA from 1 species